rnacentral:misc_RNA from 1 species
UACUGUUACGUUCUACGGAAAGUGUGUGUGACCAGCUUUAUGCAGAAGGCUGUACUCUUGCCCUUAUUUUUAAAGUGGCUAAUGAUUUUUUUCACUGUUUUAUUUUCGUUCUUAUUUCUCAUACACGUUUCGUUGUACAUUUAGGAUUGUGAUGUCCGAUGAGUCCGAAUAUGAUAUGGAACCGGAAGAGCUUGACAUUUACAAGAGAAAAUAUCAAUUACUGUUGGAGAGAUGCGAGAUUUUACAACAGGAAAAUGAAAGAUUAGUCUACAGAAUCCAGAAAGUAAGGAAGCUUCUUCGACGUUCAAGGAAAGAAAAAAAAUUUUUAAUCGAUCGAUUGGAUCGACAUGGAGAUCGUUGGCGAGAAGCUCCGAUGGGUGUACUCGAAGAGAACAGUGUAUUUCAAACGACUCCAAAAUCAGAGAAAAGUGGAAAAGGUAUUUCUCAUGGUGCUAAGGAGGAGAAGCCUAGAAAGGGAACGAAGAGAAAGGGGACAAAAGCAGAUCCAAAUGCACCGAAAAGACCCGCUAAUCCUUUCUUUCAAUUUUGUCAAGAGCAAAGGCCCCGUGUAAUGGAACGAUUAGCUGGAGAACCAGAGCCUAGUAAACAAGAACUUACCAGGCAACUUGCAACUACUUGGAAAUCUCUCAGUUCUGAGGAUAAAAAAGUUGUACGGUUUCAGAUAUAUUAUGAUAUGUACGAGAGAUCCAAGGAAAAAUAUGUCGCAGAGAUGCAAAUAUAUAAUAAGAAGACUGAAGAUUUACCAUGUCAAAUACCAUUAAAUAUAACAUAAUAUUUAGUGUGAUAUUAAUGAAUAUUAAUGGCGAUAAAUUAAUGGAUAUUAUAGAAAAUUGAUGACAUGUGAUCACAGCUUUAUAAGAAUAGUACAAUAGUAAUAAUAGAGGACAAACUUUACAGACAUUAGAUAGUCUUGUGUUAUUUGAUUUGUUCGGAACAAAAACAAGUUCUUGUUGAUUGCAAUGCUGAUUGAUACAAAUACACAGUAAAUAAAUAGAAAGCCAGCGAAGACAUACUCCAUAAAAAGAUAGGAGUGGGGACAAAAAGCCAGCUUUUCUUCGCUCCAUGAAAAGGAAGGAGGCGAAUAGCGAUAGCUAAGCGACGCUGCUUUUUAUUGGAUGGAGAGGGGGUAAAAGCCAGCUUUGCUUCGCUCGCAUGAAAUUGCACCUUAAGUUCUUCACAUAUCAACCUAACUUAACCUAACCUAACCUAACCUAACCUAACCUCUCCUCUCUCUUGCUCACUUUUAUACUCUCUCUGGUCUUAUUAUCCUUUCUCUUCCGUUUUUUUUAAACUCAUCUUUCUACCUUCUCUAUGAGCCGCUUUCUCUAACCUUCUUCUAUCCCCCUUCACCCCUUUCUUCUCAACUCUCUUUAUAUAUUUUUCCCGCGCUCGCCUAUACAUCCAAACUUCUAUACCCGAAAUUCUUCUGCCUAUCUUCUUUCCUCCUACUCUUAUCGCGUUUCCUUCGAUUCCUUAUUAGCAACUUUACUCUUUUCCUUCUUCAUUCUAUUUUUUUCCAUUCCAGGGCAGCAAUCGUGUAACUUUUUCCUUAGGACGGAAACGUGAAAAGUUUCAUGUAACUAUCUCUUUCUAUUAGUGUUAAAUAGAAAGAGAUAGUAACUUGAAACUUCACUUUUCACGUUUUCGCCCUAGGGGAAAAAUUACAUGAUCGAUACCAUCUUUAAACACCGACUUAUGGCUCCGGCACACCAGCGCAAUUCUGUCGCGCGCGACGCGUGAUGUCCAAUGAGCGACCGCUUUUCUGCUCAUCUCUGCUGUAUGCCCAUUGGAUAUCGCGCGCGACGGAAAUCGCACUAGUCUGCCAGAGCCCGCAGUCGUCUG